AUUUUUUUCUUCUUUUUCUUCUUCUGUUUCUUCUCGUCUCUGUUCUUCUUCCUCUGCGAGUUGUGAGAGAUCUAAUGGAGGCUUGGUGAUCGGAAGGAGGUGGAGAAGAUCAUGGAGUGGUUUGUGAUGAUGAGGUUAUCUAUUGUUGAUUCAAAUUCGGAUCAGAUAAUGAAUUAAGACUUAGGGUUUUGAGAAGAGAAGGUUGAUUGAAGGUUUUUGUGGAAUUGAGUAUGGAAUCGAUCGAUUGGAGAUGGGUUUUCUCAGUUGUUAGCAAAGAGGAGAAACUAGAGUUCGAUUCUGGAAAUCGUAGUGAUGAAUUAUGUCUCGGUGAGCUAGGGUUCGUUAGGGUCUGAGAUUGAAGGAGUUAAUUGAAAAGAAUUAGGGUUUGUCUGUGUUGCGAACUAAAGAGUUAGAUGAAUUCAUUAGAUGGGUUUGGUCUAAUUGAGAUUUUGAAUGAUCUGUUAAGGGUUUGAUAUUCAUGAACCUGGGUUUUAUAUAAAGAAAAUCCAGAGAGGAUUUAAGAGAUGGAAUUGAUGUUCUUGAGGAAUUAUUAAAGAUGGGUUUGAUUGAUUUAAAGAUUUGUAUUGAUAUGUCGAGCUUGAACCUGAAAUUAGAGAACACGGAAUUAUCAUAGGGUCUAGGACUGGAACUGGCAAGGAGGCGUUGGUGUCGAAACAAGUGAAUUGAGGUAACUGCUUCUUUGAGUUGAUUUCAAUAUGGUUAUUCAGUUUCAUUACUUAUGUAUGUGUGAUUGAUAAUAGUAUUAGUGGGAUUUGAGAUGAGGGUGGUGAAUAUGGAGUUGAGCUUUUGAAACUGGUAUUGAUCUGAAUCAGUUGAAGGAGGAAGUGAGGUAGUAUUAUCUGGUCUUGAAUGAACUGAAGUUUUUAAAUGAAUGAUAGUAUAUUAUAGGUGUGCAGAUUUGUUGGUGGUAUGAACAUGAUAGUCUCAUUUAGUAUUGGGAGUUUACUGAGAUGGAGAAGAUGUAUUGAAGGAUAAAGAGGAAGAGGAUUGCAGGUGAUGGUUAUCGUCUACAAUGAAUGGAGUUCAUGGUUGAGGUAAUUGUUCUUGUUAGUAAACAGUUCAAGUUCAUUAUUGAGUUUAUAAGUUCUUAAUGAAUUAAAAAUGUAAAUGAGUAUGGUUAGUUUGGUUGUGUUGAGUUUGAAUUACAGUUAGAAGUGAAUUGUAAUCAAAUGGGAGUUGUAAUUGAAGUUUGAGUGUUGUUCGAGUUGAACCAUUCUGGAUAUUACAACUACUGCAUUGUAGGUAAGCUCGACUUAUAUUUGUAGUUGAAUUAUGAAGUUCAGCUGAAUUGAAUAUGUUUGUGUUGAAAUGGAGAAGUAUUAUUACUCCUAGUAUUUGCAAGUGGUAAUGGAUUAGGGAGUUUAUGGUUUUGAAGAUGUUAAUGAAGUUAUAAUUGCAGAUAUAGAUUUCGAGUAAUGUAAAUGGAGAAAUGUUAGAUUGUUGAAAAGCCUGGAAUUGCUAUUGCAGGUAAACUGAGUUUAUGUUUGUAAUCUGAUUUUGAAGUUUAUUUAGAAUUGAAUUAAAGUUGAAAUGAGACUAUGUCAGGGAGAAAUGGUUGCAGGUAGAAUAACUAAGGUUGUCUUGCAUUAGAGUUUUGGCAUGUGAUAUGGCCUAGCUUUAUCCUCACUCAUCCCAGUUAGUUUAGCUGACUCUGGUAGUCUGACUGAGUCGAAUCGGGUUUGACUCACUGAGUCACUAGUCUUGACUCGUUGACCAUUGACCCUGGACUUGACCUAGACUGGAGGUGGAUUGUUAGACCCAUUUCACCGUCAGAGACCGUUAGAUUGACCAGUUGGGUCAGGCCUUGUGUAGUGGGUCGGAUCAGUGGGUCGUGCCGAAUCAGGCCCAUGGGCUUGGACUAGCAAUCUUAAUUAGAUGUUUUGGACCUCUUGUGGUCUGAAUUAGCCUUGGGCUUCUUCUACAAAGUUGAAGAUACUCAUAAGACUUAGCUAAUGGACUAUAGUUACAACCUAAUUGAAUUAGUAAACUUUAGAUAUGCUAAAGAUGAAUAAUGAAAAGUGUAGAACCACAGUUGGGCGUAGAACCAUUAGAUAAACUAUAUGAGCCUUGUAUGAGCCUUUUGGCUAAACUCUUAGAGUGCUUCUUUGAUUAACAGUUAGUUAUUAACAACGGUCGAUUCAAGGACGAACCAAUGGAUCUCGAGGUAGGCGUGGCUUGUCAUCAAAAGAGAGACAGAUCAGAGUUGCGCAGCGAAAGCUUCGAGGAGUUGACUCUGUUAAUUAGUUACCUUCUGCUAUGUUUAUUAUGUUGUUUAUUCUAUUUGCAAACUAAAUGACUAUUGUUUAUGUAUCAUUUGAGAGAAGUUCUUGUAUAUAUAUUUCUGAGCGGGGUUAGUUUUGGGUUAAGUUUUAUAGCAGAUUUCUUAAUUGAUUGUUUAAGUAAAUGAUUCAGAUUCUUA